UACGAAGGGACCUAGCGUAGUUCGGAAUUACUGGGCUUAAAGAGUUCGUAGGUGGUUGAAAAAGUUAGUGGUGAAAUCCCAGAGCUUAACUCUGGAACUGCCAUUAAAACUUUUCAGCUAGAGUAUGAUAGAGGAAAGCAGAAUUUCUAGUGUAGAGGUGAAAUUCGUAGAUAUUAGAAAGAAUACCAAUUGCGAAGGCAGCUUUCUGGAUCAUUACUGACACUGAGGAACGAAAGCAUGGGUAGCGAAGAGGAUUAGAUACCCUCGUAGUCCAUGCCGUAAACGAUGUGUGUUAGACGUUGGAAAUUUAUUUUCAGUGUCGCAGCGAAAGCGAUAAACACACCGCCUGGGGAGUACGACCGCAAGGUUAAAACUCAAAUGAAUUGACGGGGACCCGCACAAGUAGUGGAGCAUGUGGUUUAAUUCGAAGAUACGCGCAGAACCUUACCAACACUUGACAUGUUCGUCGCGACUCUAAGAGAUUAGAGUUUUCGGUUCGGCCGGACGAAACACAGGUGCUGCAUGGCUGUCGUCAGCUCGUGUCGUGAGAUGUUGGGUUAAGUCCCGCAACGAGCGCAACCCUCACUUUUAGUUGCCAUCAUUAAGUUGGGCACUCUGAAAGAACUGCCAGUGAUAAGCUGGAGGAAGGUGGGGAUGACGUCAAGUCCUCAUGGCCCUUACGUGUUGGGCUACACACGUGCUACAAUGGUAUCUACAACAGGAAGCAAGACUGCGAGGUCAAGCAAAUCCUUAAAAGAUACCUCAGUUCGGAUUGCACUCUGCAGCUCGAGUGCAUGAAGCUGGAAUUACUAGUAAUCGUGGAUCAGCGUGCCACGGUGAAUGCGUUCCCGGGUCU
rnacentral:rRNA from 1 species